UAAUAAGUGUUUUAUGGCACUUUUUAAAUCCAUAUCCACCUUGUGUGCAAUGUAGGUCGAUCUUCUUCAUGGAGAUCGACCAAACAUCAACCUUUAUCUUUUAACUCUUUGUCUGAAAAAUAUUAUGAAUAAACAAUUCAAAAUA
rnacentral:misc_RNA from 1 species